GCGGACAUGGUGGAAUUGGUAUACACAACAGACUUAAAAUCUGUCGCUUCAAUAGCUUACGGGUUCGAGUCCCGUUGUCCGCA
rnacentral:tRNA from 4 species